rnacentral:rRNA from 1 species
CCUACGGGAGGCAGCAGUGGGGAAUAUUGGACAAUGGGCGCAAGCCUGAUCCAGCCAUGUCGCGUGAGUGAUGAAGGCCUUAGGGUUGUAAAGCUCUUUUGUCCGGGACGAUAAUGACGGUACCGGAAGAAUAAGCCCCGGCUAACUUCGUGCCAGCAGCCGCGGUAAUACGAAGGGGGCUAGCGUUGCCCGGAAUCACUGGGCGUAAAGGGCGCGUGGGCGGCCUGAUAAGUCGGGGGUGAAAGCCUGUGGCUCAACCACAGAAUUGCCUUCGAUACUGUUAGGCUUGAGUAUGGUAGAGGUUGGUGGAACUGCGAGUGUAGAGGUGAAAUUCGUAGAUAUUCGCAAGAACACCGGUGGCGAAGGCGGCCAACUGGACCAUUACUGACGCUGAGGCGCGAAAGCGUGGGGAGCAAACAGGAUUAGAUACCCUGGUAGUCCACGCCGUAAACGAAUGAAUAGCCACGCUGUUGGGGUUGGGCGUUGUCGACCUCCACGUAAGUCGCAGCUAACCGACCAUUAAAGUACAUUCCGCCUCGGGGAGGUACGGUCGGCAAGAAUUAAAACUUAAAAGGAAAGUUAGACGG